rnacentral:rRNA from 1 species
UGGGGAAUAUUGGACAAUGGGCGCAAGCCUGAUGCAGCAAUGCCGCGUGAGUGAAGACGGCCUUAGGGUUGUAAAACUCUUUCGCUAGGGAAGAUAAUGACGGUACCUAGUAAAGAAGUCCCGGCUAACUCCGUGCCAGCAGCCGCGGUAAUACGGAGGGGACUAGCGUUGUUCGGAAUUACUGGGCGUAAAGAGUUCGUAGGCGGACUAGCAAGUUAGAGGUGAAAUCCCAGGGCUCAACCUUGGAACUGCCUUUAAAACUGCUAGUCUAGAGACCGGAAGAGGUUAGGGGAAUACCUAGUGUAGAGGUGAAAUUCGUAGAUAUUAGGUGGAACACCAGUGGCGAAGGCGCCUAACUGGUCCGGUACUGACGCUGAGGAACGAAAGCGUGGGGAGCAAACAGGAUUAGAUACCCUGGUAGUCCACGCCGUAAACGAUGAGUGCUAGAUGUUGGGAUUUUCGGAUUUCAGUGUCGCAGCUAACGCAUUAAGCACU